GUAGGUAACCUGCCUGGUAGCGGGGGAUAACUAUUGGAAACGAUAGCUAAUACCGCAUAAUAUCUUUGAUUGCAUGAUUGAAGUUUGAAAGAUGCAACUGCAUCACUACCAGAUGGACCUGCGUUGUAUUAGCUAGUAGGUGAGGUAAAGGCUCACCUAGGCGACGAUACAUAGCCGACCUGAGAGGGUGAACGGCCACACUGGGACUGAGGCACGGCCCAGACUCCUACGGGAGGCAGCAGUAGGGAAUCUUCGGCAAUGGGGGCAACCCUGACCGAGCAACGCCGCGUGAGUGAAGAAGGUUUUCGGAUCGUAAAGCUCUGUUGUAAGAGAAGAACGUGUGUGAGAGUGGAAAGUUCACACAGUGACGGUAACUUACCAGAAAGGGACGGCUAACUACGUGCCAGNNNNNCGGUAAUACGUAGGUCCCGAGCGUUAUCCGGAUUUAUUGGGCGUAAAGCGAGCGCAGGCGGUUGGAUAAGUCUGAAGUUAAAGGCUGUGGCUCAACCAUAGUAUGCUUUGGAAACUGUUCAACUUGAGUGCAGAAGGGGAGAGUGGAAUUCCAUGUGUAGCGGUGGAAUGCGUAGAUAUAUGGAGGAACACCGGUGGCGAAAGCGGCUCUCUGGUCUGUAACUGACGCUGAGGCUCGAAAGCGUGGGUAGCGAACAGGAUUAGAUACCCUGGUAGUCCACGCCGUAAACGAUGAGUGCUAGGUGUUAGGCCCUAUCCGGGGCUUAGUGCCGCAGCUAACGCAUUAAG
rnacentral:rRNA from 1 species